rnacentral:rRNA from 1 species
UGGGGGAUAUUGCACAAUGGGCGCAAGCCUGAUGCAGCGACGCCGCGUGGGGGAUGAAGGCCUUCGGGUUGUAAACUUCUUUUGCUCUGAACAAGGCGCACUUUGGGGUGUGUUGAGUGUAGGGGUUGAUUAGCGCCGGCUAACUACGUGCCAGCAGCCGCGGUAAUACGUAGGGCGCGAGCGUUGUCCGGAAUUAUUGGGCGUAAAGGGCUUGUAGGUGGCUGGUUGCGUCUGUCGUGAAAGCUCAUGGCUUAACUGUGGGUUUGCGGUGGGUACGGGCUGGAUUGAGUGCAGUAGGGGAGGCUGGAAUUCCUGGUGUAGCGGUGGAAUGCGCAGAUAUCAGGAGGAAUACCGGUGGCGAAGGCGGGUCUCUGGGCUGUUACUGACACUGAGGAGCGAAAGCAUGGGGAGCGAACAGG